AACGCACGAGACCUGCGGACCUGCGGAAGGAUCAUUACCGAGUUAUCCAACUCCCAACCCCUGUGAAUCAUACCUUUAAUUGUUGCUUCGGCGGGACUUCGCGCCCGCCGGGGACCCAAACCUUCUGAAUUUUUUAAUAAGUAUCUUCUGAGUGGUUAAAAAAAAUGAAUCAAAACUUUCAACAAUGGAUCUCU
rnacentral:misc_RNA from 1 species